rnacentral:tRNA from 1 species
AUUUAGGUAGCUUAAUUUAAAAGCACAUCUCUGAAGAAGAUAAGAUGAGACUCUCCCUAGAUA